rnacentral:rRNA from 1 species
AACGAACGCUGGCGGCAGGCUUAACACAUGCAAGUCGAACGCCCCGCAAGGGGAGUGGCAGACGGGUGAGUAACGCGUGGGAAUCUACCCAGUUCUACGGAAUAACCCAGGGAAACUUGGACUAAUACCGUAUACGCCCUACGGGGGAAAGAUUUAUCGGAAUUAGAUGAGCCCGCGUUGGAUUAGCUAGUUGGUGGGGUAAUGGCCUACCAAGGCGACGAUCCAUAGCUGGUCUGAGAGGAUGAUCAGCCACACUGGGACUGAGACACGGCCCAGACUCCUACGGGAGGCAGCAGUGGGGAAUAUUGGACAAUGGGCGCAAGCCUGAUCCAGCCAUGCCGCGUGAGUGAUGAAGGCCUUAGGGUUGUGAAGCUCUUUCAGUGGGGAAGAUAAUGACGGUACCCACAGAAGAAGCCCCGGCUAACUUCGUGCCAGCCGCCGCGGUAAGAC